rnacentral:pre_miRNA from 1 species
AGUGGGAUUGCUGGGUUAUAUAGCAAAUAUAUAUUUAACUUCAUAAAGAACUACCAAAUUCUUUUCCAAAGUGGUUCUAUCAUUUUGCACUCCAAGAAGGAAU